AGAUACAAAGUUCGGAAAAUGCUCAACAACUCAGUUCUACUCGGAUCAUGUAGGGACUUGUAUUGACUGUAGCACAAGCGUGGAUUCGAUGCCAGACGAAUGCUUUUAUUUAAAAAAAAGUAUGUCGUCAUCUCCUUCAACGAAAUCAACUUUAACAACGUCGACUUCAAUGACCUCGACUUCAACGACAUCAGCUUCAACGACAUUGAUUUCAUCGACACUCGCUUCAACGACAUCUGCUUCAACGACUCACACUCAGUCAACAGUUUUGCCAUGGACGUCUAAUAUUGGUUAUAUCAUAAUGGUGCCAGUGAUUAUUAUUGCAACUAUCGGUGUAGCGUAUAAGCUGAACCAAUGCUAUUCCUUUGAAAUAUGUAAACAUAAACCAACAGAUGAGGAGAGUCAGGCUCAUCUUCCCAUUCAAGAAGUUGGUACCAGCAAUCAAGAAACAGUUGAGGAGCAACAUCAUCUUCUACCACAGGCAGAACUGGCAGGUGACGGGAAUCAGCUCAAUAGACGAGACAGUGGUCGUUCAACUUGGUCCAACCUCUCAGAGAGCCUAAGCAGCAACAUGUCAAACGGUGGAUCAAGCAUUGAACAUGUGUCUGAUAGUGGGACUGAGAACGAGGUGCGUGCUGAACCUCAUUCCGUCGUGGAUAAUACAAUGGUGAAAAACACUGAGAUUGUAGCGACUGAUUUGGCAUUGGGUCCUGGGAUGGUUAACAUUCAUCCACAAAUGGUUGUGCCAGUAGCCAACUGAGAUGACAAAUUCUUAAAGAUAAAAGAAAGAUGUACUCUCGGGAAUUCUUAGUGAGGAAUCUUAAGCGAUGUAGUCUGCACUUGAAGACAAUUGAAGUUUAGAGAAUGUUAUUUCCUUUUAGGUUAGUUCUUUCUCUAAAUAAUGAUUAAUUGAGUAAUCUAAGUAUGCAAUUUGAUGUAUUAUCACGCAUACUAAUUGAUGACUUGAUAUGGAUAUGGUUGGUAGAUGUCAUUUUGAAAACAUAUAGUAAAAAAUAUGUAUUCAUAAAAAUUAUGAAAAUAUCAUAAAACAUAAAAAAUACAAAAACAAAAUGUAUGCAUGUGUUCAGGUAUUCCACCUAAAAUAUUUUCUUAGUAUUAAAAUCUUAAGGUCUGCACAAAGUGAGACAUUCUAAUUUGGUAAGUCAAAAUACAUGCAUCCUACUUGUUACUAUUUUCCUUUUUGUCAUUCAAGCACUGCAAACUUAAAAGCUUUUUGCAUUUUCUUUAAGUAAGGUUGCUAUAGAAACAGGUGGAAUUCUUGGAUAUCAUUGCAUUUCAAUGUAAACCACGUGCGACUGGUGUGUAGUAAAGAAUGUGUGAGUUUGUGUAUCUAUUAGAAAAAUCAGGGCUUUUUUCAUGUUAUUUUGAGAGAACAAUAUUUUUACAGAUCAAAUCCAUUCAAACAUUAUUUAAAGCUUUGCCUGCAUCAAAAUUUUGAUACGAACUUAUAAUUGAGUCUAAACAUAUAUUUUUUUUACCAAUUGCUGAAGUUUCAGGUAUCGAGAAUUGUGUUUUAUCUAAACAUCUUAAGUUGAAACAGGGUUUGUUGAAAUCAUUGACAGGGUUACCAUAUAUUGCCAACAUAAUGUGGUCAGUACCAUGAUUAACAUUUUGAGUUUCAAAUAAAUGUCUUUGAUGAAAGUUGCAUAGAAAUAUUAUUUUGAGUUAAAACCCCACAGGUCAGAUAUGUUGCCAGACCUGACAAUUGGGAGAGCGCACUCUAAGAAGAUAAAGAAUUAUCCUCUUUAUUCAUUAAAUACUGAAAACAUUGAGCAAUAACUCCAAUUGUAUGUCUUUCAAAGUGUAGUUCCUGUUGACUGCUACUAUGUAUCAUUUUCAAAUUGAUAUCAAUCAUAAUAUAACAGCGUUUGUCAGGAUAGAAAUGCAAUACGUAAAAUAAACAAAGGAUAUUUAGCACUCUAGUUCAAAAUGUAUGAGAUACAUUGUAAUGGCCCUUGUUCUAUGCACACACAUGCUGUGAGAUUUAUAUGAAUUUGAAGUUUCAUGAUAAUGUGUACAUUGUUUAAAUACUUUGCCCUGGACGAUCGAAAGGGGACGCUGCAUACAAAAAUAACAACUAAAAGGUACCUUUAUGUUGCUAAAUCAGGUUGAACAAAAACUUCUUUGUAAGAUGUUAUUUCAACAUGGGGAGAUAACAAUCGGAAUCAAUAAAGGAAAGGUAUUUGUCUUGUUUUAAUCGUUUAAAAAUGAAUAGUUUUUCAAAGUUUCAAAUGGAUACAUUUGAUAUCUUUUUGAGAAAUAGACUGCAGAUAGAUAGAUAAUAUAGAUAGAUAAGAAAUCAACUUUUUCUUUGAAAAGUUUAUCUUUUCGAAAAUCCAUUCUUUUACCUCCCAUGAUUAGACUCAAAAGCAGGACAUAACCAAUGUGCAUUAUUACAUAAUGCAUACUAUAAUGGCAUAAUAUUUAAUCUUGUUGGCAUUGUUAUACUUAAAAAGCGUAAACUAUAUUGAUGUCAUCGGAUUUUUAAAAAUAAAUAUUUAUUUAAUACAUGAAUGUUUAUGACAUUUUUAUUCUUGGUGCGGAGUUUUAAUUUUUACAGUGCAAUAUUUUUUUAUUAUACAUUUUACACAAGGAUAAGGUUCCAAUUUCACAAUGUCUAUAAAAAAAGCUCUGAUUUGUUUAAGAAUCAAACAAAAGUGUUCAUCUGGCUGCCAUUUUUUGAUGUUAGUUAAUAGUUUAUAUAUAUUCAGUAUCAAUUGUAUUGUAUACUAAGUGUACCUGUCAUAUCAUUUAGAACUGUGUACAUCAACAAGCAGUAUUCAUUUAAACAGCCAGUAUUAAUUGCAAGUGUGUGAUUAAAGAUUCGAUACAUUUCGUAUCAAUGUAUAUUGGAAGGUGUUGUAUGAAAGCUUAUAGAUAUAUAUGGAAAAACAUGUUGCACAAAAUAUACAUGAAUGUGAAUACAUUAUUAGUAGGAUGCAGGAAUAAAUAGAAUAUAUGGUUAUUUUAACAAAAUCUCUGUUGUCUUUGUUUAACAUAGGCUUAUCAUGUGUGAUUGUAAUUUAUAUGCUUGCAUGAUCUAAAAAUGGCAGCCAUGUAAAUUUACCUUACAAAUAGACUCCCUUCUUAAAUUUAGUAAAAUUGCAGUUUUUACAAUAUCAUAUUUUAUUUUCAAAUUGCUAAUUUAAUAACAUUAAAAACGUGAACAGGAAACCGUUUAUCAUCAGAGAAACAUACAAAUAAGAAUAUUUGGAUUUAAAUACUUUUUCGAUUGAUGAACUUUUUAAACAUUUUUGUUUGAUGCUAUAUUGUUCAUCAAUGUCCAUCAAGCUCAAUAUAGCAUGAGCUGUACUGAGCUUUCAUAGGAUCCCUUGAUAUCCGUGUUCCAAUAUAUUGUCUUACGUCCAACAAACAGCUAUAUAUUGCUGUUAAUUAUUUAAUUUAUUUUUAAUGCACAAUGCACAUGUUCAGGUGGGCAUCACAUCUUCUUUCUGAAACCCCCUACUUUGAUGUAACGACGUGCCUUCCAAACUAGUUUCUUAAACGUUUAAACAUAUUAUUAAGUGUAAUUUGAUUAAUUUACAUACGCGGAUAAUUUCCAUUAGUGGCAAAUACAACUUAUUCAAUUUGUAAAGCAAUUAUUAUUAUGGUUAAGUUUUGAACAUUUGACGACAUUAAAAUACUGAUAGCUAAUGGUUUAUAAACCUUGUGUAUGUUAACGUAGGUAUAUUACCUUAUUUGCCAGAAUGAGAGUGCACUGUUUUCUAUAUAGCAGUGGUGUAAAGUUUAAUCCUUAUUGGCAUUCUUGAAGCUCUUGACAUUCACAGGAAGUUUUAUCGGAUAAAUACAUUAAAUUCAUAAGACAUAAGCAUUUUAGCAAGUCAUUUAAAUUUAUUUGGGAUACAUGAAAACUAUUUUUUUUCAAUGUUUGGUAUUGUCUGAAUUAACUUUAAAUAAGUAAACAAAUGUUUGGUUCCAAAUUAUUCACUUUAGCUGUUCAUACAUAAUCAUGAAUUUGUCAAAUUUCAGUAAUAAGAAAUCAAACAGAAAUAUUCUUAUUAAUGUAGUUAAUGUAUAAACAGUUUUAAGUACCUUUGGUUUCUGUGAAUGUCAAAUGUAUGUGAAACUGUGCUAAAUCAAAGAUAAUGGACUUAUUUUUUCAUAUUUCCCAUCAAAUUCUAGUUCCAUAUUUUCUUUAAGAAACAUUUGCAAAUCAUGUUUAAAUAGGAGUUUCUACUAUGAUAUUAAAUGAAGUAACAUGGCAACAUUUAAAUAUACAAAAAUACGUAUAUGUAGUACGUAUUUAUAGUAAUACCUUUAGAAAAUAUCGAACGCACAUUAUUGUAACGCUCUACAUGCCGUAAAUUGAUCAUUAACAAAUAUUUGAACAAGUUUGUUUUAUGAACUUAAAGUUAAUUUGCUAUAAAUUUGAUUAAAUACUACAACUAAUGUAAGGUUGCCAUACUUUUGCAUUCAUUUUCAGAAUUAAGUUAUUAAAAUAAAAACGUGAUAUUACAAAGACCACCAACAUAACUGCAUUUUUUAAAAAUAUAACUAUUAUUUGAAAAUCAUAAAAAUCCGAUCGUAAAACAGUUUGGAAAUAUUUUAAUGGACUUAAAUAGAUUGUUUUUCAUGAUAACAAAUUUAACUCCAAACUGUAUUAACAGUAUUAAAGGCUCAUAGUUUUAUUCCUAUAUCCCUGUGACUUUCUCAAAUUCACAGACUUUUAUAUUAAGCAGUUUUGGUAAUACAUUUGCACACCUGAAACCGUUAUACCAUUUAUCGUACAAUGAUGUGUCUCAACAUUAUGUCUCAACAUUAAAUCAUUUCUUUUAAGAAAAUUGUAACAUUAUAUGCACAUACUAAGUAUACUUAGUCUAUUUAGGUAGAAAUUCGAUAUACUUUAAGCUUCCGUGAAUGCCUCAGUUGAUUAAACUUUAUUGCACUGCUGGUAACAAAACAGGUACCAAUAAAGAAACCUGUCCAUUGUUAUCAUAUUUUUCCGUUUUACACAAUUUCCUAUUUUUUGCCGCAAUAGAUAUUUUACUAUACAGUUUCAUGCAGAGAAAGUUUUAUCUCUACUUAUAAUACUGUUCUUGGCGUUUUGUUUAUACACCGUUUAUUUAAUAUAAAGAGAAUAUUUAAAGAAAAACGCAACAAAUACUGCAUGUGUUAUGCACACAGUUUCAGAGAUUGAGCAUUACAUUCGCCCAUAUCGAUAAGUCCCUUUUGUCCUUAUGAUUUUAGUGUUGUGCCUUACUCGAAAAGAACAUAAUUGUUACAUUAGUGAAACUUAAUGAGCAUUUGUCAAAUUGAUUUCAAUAUAAAUACCCGAGAAUUGGGUUACAGCUUUUUACAACAUAAUCAGCAUAGUUUGCCAAUUCAUGGAUUAUGGCGGAUUUUAGUGUUUUGUAGGCGCUUAAUUAUUUAUUUGAUCACUAGUUUCAUUUAACUCGAAAAACAUAUGGCAGCUUUAUUAUACAUUGUCAGGUACUGAAACUGUGGACAGGUAUCUUUAGGAGACUGUGGACGCUUAAUAUCGAAGUUAAGAAUUCUAAAGUCAUGUAUACUUUUUAAUGUAAAGAUUAUAUCAAGUUUAUAUAGCCCUUUUAUGAAACAGAACACAUUUAUUAUGACUCUUUUAAGAAUAUUUUCAUCGAUCUAUUUUUAUUCCAACAGUUAUUUUUAUCUAAUAAAAUAAUACAGACUUAUAUUUUGUCUGCAAUAUAAUAAUGUGUUUUAUCGAGUAUGCAAUCGGCAAUGUAAUUAUCCGGUGUUAAACUGUUCGCAGUCUCCUACAUUCUUUUGAGGCAAGUAAUUGUGUAAUGAAUUGGACAAUGCAGUUAAAUGAAAGGCUCUAUACAUUAAGUCAAGCAAAUGUUCAAAGACGAGUACUGAUUAAAUUAAUGAAUUUUGUGUAGAAAAAAUAAAUAAAGAAAUAAUGAAUAAUGCCCUGAUUUGCCACUAGAUUUGGGCCAAACGGUUUUUCUCAUUUCGUUAUUGACUUUAUAAUUGGUUGUGUUUCCUUCAAGUAUGUUACAGCACUUGAAUAGUUUUUUUUAUUUUCAAUUGUUUCUAACUUUACAGGUGUACACCUUGCAGUGUUUCUCUCGAAUAAAGUUUUAGUAAAUAGCGUUUCUUUUACAUCUUCCAAAACGGAUGAUACAUCAAGGACAUGGGGGUUUCUUUCUUCUUUUUUUCCAGACAAGCUUAAAAGUUGUAUUUAUUGUUAUAACGCAAUGUUAAACUAGUAUAAUUGAAAUAUGUUCCCAUCCAUGUGUAUGACAUUUUUAAACAGUUAACCUUCAUGCGCAUAUUUUAAGACGUCUAAUUUGAUACUUAACACCUUUAAAUGUUUGUUUAAAUAAUUUGUCUUUUCUUUUGCCAUUAACUAGUUCUUUUGCUCAAACUGUUCUUUUUCUUGAAACAUGUUCACACUGUGUCUAACGUUGCAAAAGUCGAUAUUUUCAAAUAUAUUUUUUAAUGUAUAUUCGAACGCAUUUGAAUAAAUUAAGGAUCCUGUUGUCACAAUUACCAUAUAAAAUUUGCGUUUUGACAUUUGAUACAAUUAAAUGCUUAAAAAAUAAAUCUAUUAAAUGCAAAUGGACACAAAUUUGAAAACAACAACAUUUAUAACUUGUUUAAUUCUAAAAAGUACGUAACCGCUGUUUGGAAACAUUGACCUUUGCAACCUUUGACAUUCUAUUUCAUUUCAUGCAUCUACUUGUGAAAGCGAGAGAGUGAUUGUGAUUGUUGUGGUAGUAUUCGAGCUUCAUUCUGGGAAAACUGGACUUCAUGCAUGUGCAUAAAGUGUCGUCCCAGAUUAGCCUGUGAAGUCCGCACAGGCGAGUCUUGGAAUACAUUUAAAGCCUACAAUGGAUUUUCGCAGAGAAGAGACUUAAACUAAAAAAACCUUCAAAGCCGGAAGUGUCUUGCCUGACUCCACAGGCUUAUUGGGACGACACUAAACGCAUAUGCAUGGAGGCAAGUUUUCCCAGAAUGAGGCUCAUUUUAUCAUGUUUCUGUAGUAGUGGUUAGAAUGUGUGGUUGGUUAGAAUGUGUGGUAUGCCAUUUUUUGCCUUGUGUUAUUAAUAUAAAUGUGUAGUUUUAUAGAAACGUUAUUUGAUCUCUAUGUAUGUUUCUGUAGUAGUGGUUAGAAUGUGUGGCAAACCAUUUAUUUCUUUGUUUUAUAAAUAUAAAUUGGUAUUUUUUGAAACGUUAAUUAUUUGUUCUCUACGUAUGGAUUUGUUAACAUAAAGACUCUUAUAAUUGUAUGUACAGUGUAUGGUUGUUGUUUGCCCAUUUUUUUAAUUGGAACAAUUUAUGAAUGUUUUAUAUAUAAUUUCAAGUGUAUGCAUUGUGUAUAAGAAAUUCCAUGUAUCAUGUACAGAAUUAAGUAUUUUUGCAUUUGAAAUGACUAUCAAGAAUGUAUCAAUACAUUUAAAUUAUAAUACAUUUAUUAUUUUUAUUUGAUGAAUAGCGUAAUUUAUAUAAAUGAUGCUCAUACAAAUGCCAGCACUUUCAAAGAAAGUCAUAAUUGUCAAACAUGUUCCUAUUCGUACAUAAAAGUUUAUUUGUAGCAAUAAGCGUGCAAUACGGUAAUUGAUGCAAUAGUAAACAUAUUUUCUUGCCCACAUAUUGUUUUGAUAUUUAUACCCCCAUUACCAUUAGUAAUGGGGACUAUCCCAUUACCAUAAGUAAUGGGGGCUAUAUAGGAGUCACUUUGUCGGUAUGUCUGUCGCUCUGUCUGUCUGUCCCGGAAUUUCAUCCGAUCUUCACCAAACUUGGUCACAAGUUGUAUCUAGAUGAUGUCCAGGUCAAGUUUGAAUAUGGGUCAUGCCGGAUCAAAAACUAGGUCACGGGGUUACUUAGUGUGUUUUUAACCAAAAUGUUGUCUGGACCAUAACUAUGUCAUUUAUCGUUAGAUUUUAAAAUGACUUGGUACAUUUGUUCUUCAUCAUAGGACGAUGUAUCGUGUGAAAAAAGUUCGUCGAUAUCUUCAAGGUCAAGGUUACACGUGGAGUUAAAAGGUCAAAUGCUUGUCCGGGCCAUAACUUUGUCAUUUAUUGUGAGAUUUUAAAAUCAUUUGGAAAAUUUGUUCACCAUCAUUUGACGGUAUGUCGCGCGAAAAAAUUACGUCAAUAUCUCCAAGGUCAAGGUCAAACUUUGAGUUUACAUAUAAAAAAUGGCCAUACAUUAGCUUGUCCGGGCCAUAACUAUGUCAUUCAUUGUGAGAUUUUAAAAUCAUUUGGCGCAUUUGUUCACCAUCAUUGGAUGGUGUGUCGCGUAAAAGAAUUACGUCGAUGUCUCCAAGGUCAAGGUUACACUUUGAGUUCAAAGAUAAAAAAUGGCUAUAAAUGAGCUUGUCCGGGCCAUAACUAUGUCAUUCAUUGUGAGAUUUGUGAGAUUUAAACAUAAUUUGGCACAUAUAUCACCAUCAUUGCACGGUGUGUGGAGCAAAAAAAUUACGUUGAUAUCUCCAAGGUCAAGGUCACACUUUGAGUUCAAAAAUCAAAAAUGGCAAUAAAUGAACUUGUCCUGGCCAUAACUAUGUCGUUUAUUGUGAGAUUUUACAAUUGUUUGGCACAUAUGUUCACCAUCAUUGGACGCGAAAGAAUAACGUCGAUAUCUCCAAGGUCAAGGCCACACUUUUAGUUCGCAGGUCAAAAAUGGCCAUAAAUGAGCUUGUCCGGGCCAUAACUAUGUCGUUUAUUGUGAGAUUUAAAAAUAAUAUGGCUCUUUUGUUCACCAUCAUUGGACGGUGUGUUGCACAAAAGAAUUACGUCGAUAUCUCCAAGGUCAAGAUCACACUUUUAGUUCAAAGGUCAAAUAUGGCAAUGAAUGAUCUUGUCCGGGCCAUAACUAUGUCAUUCAUUACGAGAUUUUUAAAUGACUCUGUACAUUAAAUUUGUUCACAGUCAUUGGACGGUGUGUCAUGUGAAAGAAUUCAAGAGUUCAAAGGUCAAAAUGGCUAUAAAUGAUAAUGGCAUAGUAAUUCUUAAAACUCGCAAUAAAUUAGAUUCUCUUGUUUUGUGAAGACAGCAUGCAAAAUAGGCUGUGUCAAUGUGGCACGUGGGGGUUUAUGUCACGUCUGUGACAAAUCUCUAGUUUUUUCUGUUUAUUGUUCUCAUGUUUUAAGUGUUGUUCUUUGUUUUAUAUAACUAGCUGAUGUGUAUAACAAAGUCUCUACUAUGUUACUUCAAAAUCGUUGUUACGCACAUACCGAAGUACCGCAACAUACCAAAAUAAAUAGAUAUGCUUUGGUAUCCUUAUGUAAUUAAUUACUGUUUCAGUAGUUGUUUUGCUUUAUGUGACACUGAUGAUUCUUAUGGGGGUAGAUAAUGAUACUUUAUAAAGCGUGUGUUGACCAACAUACCAACACCAUGUCACACAAUAAACAUAAUAUAUUUCAGUUUGUAUAAGUUAGUCUUUAACUUACAGACAUUUUGAUCGUAAACGCAUCCUAAACACAAUUGCACAAGUAGAAUCUUUAGUUUAACAAUAAGUUUAUGAAAAAUUCUAUCGUACAUGCAUGUCACAUAACGCAUGUUAAAGGAAGUUGUGUUUAUUUAAAAAAAAAUGUUUGCACAACAGGAUGUGAGAUCUUGAUGUUUAUCAAAAUAAUUGUGAUUGCUAUUAAGUUGUCUUUCAAUAUUUGUUUCUUUGUUUAGAGUUUAUAUUAAACAUUUGCUUUUAAACCUUGUUUUAAAGUUUCGAAUGGUUCAGAGGGCCAGUUUGUGCACAAUCUUUUGAUUUUACAUAUUUAAAUUACGCUUCAAUUGUAAUCUAAUGUGUCAUAUACAAGUUACUUAUUUGUAUAAAUCCAACAAUGAAUGAGCUCAAACUGCAAUGCUCAAAUGAGUUUUUGUGUAAUUAACAAUCAAGGUCGUAUUUUGGGCCAAGGAUGAAGUCAUAUUUUGCAAUAAACAUACUGUUCUUUUUAAAUCUCAUCUGAUAUGGUAUCAUACUAAAGUGUCUUAUGUCCUUCAUCAACAUAAUGAUGUUAUACUUAUUAAAAGUAGAAACAUGUUUCGGUUAAUAUUCAACCUACAUGAUGUAAAUAUAUGUUUCGUUAUAUAAUGACUGUAAAUUAUUACUAUGUAUCAGGAUUUUAAAAUUUCAAUUGGCAUAUUUUCUGGCAAGUUUACAAUGACUGAGUGGUUGUUCCUCAUUUAUAACCUUUACAUGGCAUUUCUAUAUAUAGCUGUUUGUUGUAAAUUGUAUUCAUUAAUUUUAUACUAAUUAAUUAUUGAGAUAAUAAAAAUUAAUAAUUAAAAUAUAUUUUUUCUUAAAAUUUCCGCAAAGGAACAUUCUAUUUCUGUAACAGCAUUUCCGUGGGUUUUUAACUUUGAAAAAAAUGAUUAAAAAAAGGAACAUAAAAAUACACAAACACGUUUGCUUAAUGAAGCAUUUACGAUGCACUGAUUAUUAAUUAAUGUUUUUAUAUAUUUGUUGACAAUCAAAUGAUUAGUUAGCCAUUGUUAUUUAGUCGUUAUCAAGUGACGAAAAUAAAUACUUAAAUUGAUAAGUAUAUAUGAAUGUUAUCAUCGGUUUAUACACGGCAAUGUUAUUGUUCAUUUAAAGAACAAGAACUUUUUAUUAAAUAUACAAAAAUCAAAAGUUAUACAUUCAACUGAUACAAAUGAAAAGGCACGUCAAUAAAGUCGUAUGUGGACAUCUUUCUCGAUUAUAGUAAAAUUAAUAAAGUAACAUCGGAAGUUUUAGAUUGUUCGUUCAAGACACAUGCAUUCACAAUCAAUAUUUGCAAACAGGUUGGUCAUUUUACAAUUCACAUUUACUUCUAAAAUAUUAAAGGUAGGUUUUUAGCUCACCUGAUUGCUCAGGUGAGCUUUUUUGACCGGUCUUUGUCCGUCGUCCGUCCGUCCGUUAACAUUUGUUCGUAUACACUCUAGAGGCCACAUUUAUUGUCCGAUCUUCAUGAAACUUGGUCAAAGCUUCGUCCCAAUAAAAUCUCGGUCGAGUUCGAAACUGGGUCGUGUCGGGUCAAAAACUAGGUCACAAGUUAAAAAAAGAAAAAACUUGUAAACACUGUUGAAGUCACAUUUCAUGCCCGAUCUUCAUGUAAUAUUGUUAAAAUGUUUGUCUUAAUGAUAUGUUGGUUGAGUUCAAAAGUGGUUCCGGUCCGUUCAAAAACAUGGCCGCCAGUGAGCGGGACAGUUUUCCUUAUUUGGCUAUAGAGAAACCUUGUAAACACUCUGGAAGUCACAAUUUUCGCUCAAUCAUCAUGAAAGUUGGUCAAAAGUUGGUUUUAUUGAUUUCUCGGACGAGUUCGAAAAUGGUCCAGAUCGUUGAAAAAAAAAAUGGCCGCCAGUGGGCGGGGCAUUUUUCUCUAUAUGUAUAUAGUGAAAACAUGUCAUCACUCUAGAAGUCACAUUUUUGGCCCAAUUUUCAUGAAAUUUUGUCAGAACUUUUGUUUCUUAGAGUUAAGUUUGAAAAUGGUUCCGAUCCGUUGAAAAACAUGGUUGCCAGGGGGAGGUGGCAGUUUUCCUUAUAUUUAUAUAGUAAAAAGGCUUGUAAAACUAUCAUGAAUUAAGGUCAUGUAACAUGCGAGACAACUCUUCUAAAUAUUGCAUUUAAGUUUACAGUAGUUACUCCCCUUUGAUUAUUAUUGUUUUCAUAAUAAACAGUGUAGUUGUGUCA